rnacentral:rRNA from 1 species
AGAGUUUGAUCCUGGCUCAGAUUGAACGCUGGCGGUAUGCUUAACACAUGCAAGUCGAACGGUAACAGCAGAGCUUGCUCUGGCUGACGAGUGGCGGACGGGUGCGUAACGCGUGGGAAUUUACCUUGUAGUGGGGGAUAGCCCGGAGAAAUCCGGAUUAACACCGCAUAAUCUCUACGGAGGAAAAGGGGCCUCUUCUUGAAAGCUCCUGCUAUUAGAUGAGCCCGCGUUGGAUUAGCUUGUUGGUAGGGUAAUGGCCUACCAAGGCGACGAUCCAUAGCUGGUUUGAGAGGAUGAUCAGCCACACUGGGACUGAGACACGGCCCAGACUCCUACGGGAGGCAGCAGUGGGGAAUAUUGGACAAUGGGCGAAAGCCUGAUCCAGCAAUACCGCGUGUGUGAAGAAGGCCUGAGGGUUGUAAAGCACUUUCAAUAGAGACGAAAAGCCUGGAAUUAAUACUUCCGGUCUUGACUUAACCUAUAGAAGAAGCACCGCUAACU